ensembl:snoRNA
UGGAUCGAUGAUGACUGCUGGUGGCGUAUGAGUCAUGUAUGAUGAAUACGUGUCUGGAACUCUGAGGUCCAG